rnacentral:tRNA from 1 species
GCCUUCGUGGUGUAACGGUAGCACACUGGGCUGGUAUUCCAGAGGUCUCUGGUUCGAUUCCUGACGAAGGCG